GGGGAAUUUUGGACAAUGGGCGAAAGCCUGAUCCAGCCAUUCCGCGUGAGUGAAGAAGGCCUUCGGGUUGUAAAGCUCUUUCGCAAGGGAAGAAAACUUAGUCUCUAACAUAGACUGAGGUUGACGGUACCUUGAUAAGAAGCACCGGCUAACUACGUGCCAGCAGCCGCGGUAAUACGUAGGGUGCGAGCGUUAAUCGGAAUUACUGGGCGUAACGCGUGCGCAGGCGGUUUUGUAAGUCAGAUGUGAAAUCCCCGAGCUCAACUUGGGAACUGCGUUUGAAACUACAAGACUAGAAUAUGUCAGAGGGGGGUAGAAUUCCACGUGUAGCAGUGAAAUGCGUAGAGAUGUGGAGGAAUACCAAUGGCGAAGGCAGCCCCCUGGGAUAAUAUUGACGCUCAUGCACGAAAGCGUGGGGAGCAAACA
rnacentral:rRNA from 1 species